GGGGCCUUAGCUCAGUUGGCAGAGCGCCUGCUUUGCAAGCAGGAAGUCAGGAGUUCGAAUCUCCUAGGCUCCACC
rnacentral:tRNA from 1 species